GGGGAAUAUUGCACAAUGGGCGAAAGCCUGAUGCAGCAACGCCGCGUGAAGGAAGAAGGGUUUCGGCUCGUAAACUUCUAUCGACAGGGAAGAAAGAAAUGACGGUACCUGAAUAAGAAGCCCCGGCUAACUACGUGCCAGCAGCCGCGGUAAUACGUAGGGGGCAAGCGUUAUCCGGAAUUACUGGGUGUAAAGGGUGAGUAGGCGGCAAGUUAAGUAAGAUGUGAAAGCCUGCGGCUUAACUGCAGGAUUGCAUUUUAAACUAAUUAGCUAGAGUACAGGAGAGGUAAGCGGAAUUCCUAGUGUAGCGGUGAAAUGCGUAGAUAUUAGGAAGAACACCGGUGGCGAAGGCGGCUUACUGGACUGAAACUGACGCUGAGGCACGAAAGCGUGGGGAGCGAAC
rnacentral:rRNA from 1 species